AGUGAACGCUGGCGGUAGGCCUAACACAUGCAAGUCGAACGGCAGCACAGUAAGAGCUUGCUCUUACGGGUGGCGAGUGGCGGACGGGUGAGGAAUACAUCGGAAUCUCCUUUUUCGUGGGGGAUAACGUAGGGAAACUUACGCUAAUACCGCAUACGACCUACGGGUGAAAGCAGGGGAUCUUCGGACCUUGCGCGAUUGAAUGAGCCGAUGUCGGAUUAGCUAGUUGGCGGGGUAAAGGCCCACCAAGGCGACGAUCCGUAGCUGGUCUGAGAGGAUGAUCAGCCACACUGGAACUGAGACACGGUCCAGACUCCUACGGGAGGCAGCAGUGGGGAAUAUUGGACAAUGGGCGCAAGCCUGAUCCAGCCAUACCGCGUGGGUGAAGAAGGCCUUCGGGUUGUAAAGCCCUUUUGUUGGGAAAGAAAAGCAGCAGGUUAAUACCCCGCUGUUCUGACGGUACCCAAAGAAUAAGCACCGGCUAACUUCGUG
rnacentral:rRNA from 1 species